rnacentral:rRNA from 1 species
CCUGCCGGACCCUACUGCUAUCGGGGAGGGACUAAGACAUGCUAGUCUAGCGUCUCUAGGCUAUGGUAGAGAUGCGGCGUACGGCUCAGUAACACGUGGCUAAUCUGCCUUUAGGACAGGGCCAACCCCGGGAAACUGGGGCCUAUCCCUGAUAGGUGAGGAGGCCUGGAAUGGUUCCUCGCUGAAAGGAUGUUGAAACCAUGCUUUUUGAUGUUGCCUAAGGAUGGGGCCGCGUCCGAUCAGGUUGUUGGUGAGGUCACGGCUCACCAAGCCUAUAACCGGUACGGGCCGUGAGAGCGGGAGCCCGGAGAUGGGCACUGAGACAAGGGCCCAGGCCCUACGGGGCGCAGCAGUCGCGAAAACUCCGCAAUGCGCGAAAGCGUGACGGGGCUACCCCGAGUGUCGUCCGCUGAGGAUGACUUUUACCUAGUGUAAUGAGCUUGGAGAAUAAGGAGAGGGCAAGUCUGGUGUCAGCCGCCGCGGUAAUACCAGCUCUCCGAGUGGUAGGGACGAUUAUUGGGCUUAAAGCGUUCGUAGCCGGCUCAGCAAGUCUUCCGUUAAAUCCAGCGACCUAAUCGUUGGGCUGCGGGAGAUACUGUUGGGCUAGGAGGCGGGAGAGGCCGACGGUAUUCUCGGGGUAGGGGUGAAAUCCUAUAAUCCCGGGAGGACCACCAGUGGCGAAGGCUGUCGGCUAGAACGCGCACGACGGUGAGGGACGAAAGCUGGGGGAGCGAACCGGAUUAGAUACCCGGGUAGUCCCAGCUGUAAACGAUGCGGGCUAGGUGUUGGGGUGGCUACGAGCCACUUCAGUGCCGCAGGGGAGCCAUUAAGCCCGCCGCCUGGGGAGUACGGCCGCAAGGCUGAAACUUAAAGGAAUUGGCGGGGGAGCACCACAA